CAGGGCUUCCACUCAGGGGCUGUGUCCCGUGCUGCAGGCCGCCAGCUGCCAGUCCCUGCAGCCCGUCCCGUGAGGCCUGGCACAGGCUUUUGGCUGGAUGUGGGCCUUCCUGCCCUGGCUUACCCAAAGCCUGAGCCCGUGGUUCCCGGUGGUCCUUGUAGGGGGCAGGGCUGGGCAGGGAGCCCAGUGGGGUGGGCAAUGGUGGGCAGAAACGGGUGUCAGAGAGCUCACAGAAUUUGCCUUUCUGUUCCCAAAAGUUACCAGUGGACUUCCAGCUCUGUGAACAGUGGGAUGGGGUCUGUGCCAUGAAAGCCACUCCCUCCUGGGCACUGGAGGGGGAGGAAGACAGCUCCUGUUGCCACCACAUCCUGGUGGGGGCUGACUUGCGGGGUGGACAGCUCCUGUGGGGUCCUGAAGGUGGCAGGGGCUGGCUCAGGGGCACAGGUACCCAGUGGUGUGUCCACUGUGAGGCCAGCGCUGACAGGUGGGUCUGUGGCAGCGGCGGGCUCCCACCAGCGCGGGACUCCUUGGAGACCCCCCCAUCCCACCCUUGCAGAGGGUCUGUUGCUCAGCUGGCCUUUCCAGGGACCUCUCACCCCGUCGGGCCUGGCCUUGGCACCAGCUGCUCCGCUUACUUAUGUGCCUACCUGUGACCCUCUGUGCCACCUUCCAGCCUCCCUUUUUUGGGGAGCCUUCCCCAUUUCCCUAGAUCCAAGCAGUCGUUCAUGUCCCCACUGUGAGCCUGGCUGAACUGCUGUGCCUGUCCAGAGGCUGUUCCUCCCCCGAUGCUGCUGGGGAAGCCAGGGCACCCCACUCCAAUCUUGCUGCUGCUUGGAAGCUGGGCGGGGUGGGGAGGCCAUCAGUGAAAUUGCCUGGCGCCCCCUUGCAGGAGACCCCAGCGGUGCUGAUGGUUGUUCUGCACCCAGCCCAGCCCCGC
rnacentral:lncRNA from 1 species